rnacentral:other from 14 species
GUGGCUCUGUUGUGUACGCCUUGUCCAUAUCGCAGGUUUGCCUUACAGUCUUAUUACUUUGGGAUUAGUGUUUAAACUUAAUGGACAACAUGCCCUUUCACUCGGUAGCUGAAAAUUAAGUACCGUAUCCCACCUGUCUUACACGCAGGUCAACACUGUCGGAUCAAUAACGGCACGAACGGAGUCUUU